AUGCCUUCAUUCCCAAAUCAGGCCUGGCAUCUCCAUCUCUCUCCCCCUCACCACUUUUUCUCCCACCUCCGGCCGCCGCCGCGGCCAGGCCAUCGUGGCGGCGCACCAACCAGUACCUCCACCAUCUCCGCACGCCGCCUAGUACCUCCACCAUCUCACCAUCAGCCACCAGCGCCAUCCAUCUUCCACCAUCAGCCACCAGCGCCACUGCAUCACCAGCGCGCCUCCACCCCACGCUUGCGCGACCCACCAGACGGCCAUCUGAUCCCUCGCGCGAGUCCUCUCCUCUGCUUGUGCCCGACCGCUGUUGUUCCUUCUUCCCUAGCCUUGUUGCUGCUCUUCCUUCUCCAGCUGCUGCUCCACUUCUCCAAAUCCCCAAAUUGCUGCUCCUCAUUCUUUGUGACGCCCCCGAUUAAAUCGGACACUAAUCAUGCAUGCAAAUGUGUACGAUCAAGAUCAGGGACUCACGGGAAGGUAUCACAACACAACUCUACAACAUAA
rnacentral:rRNA from 1 species